rnacentral:rRNA from 1 species
ACCUACGGGGGGCAGCAGUGGGGAAUAUUGCGCAAUGGGGGAAACCCUGACGCAGCGACGCCGCGUGAGCGAAGAAGGCCUUAGGGUCGUAAAGCUCUGUUUUAAGGGACGAAUGUCGCGGGUAAUAAUACGAUCUGCGAAUGACGGUACCUUAAGAGGAAGCCCCGGCUAACUACGUGCCAGCAGCCGCGGUAAGACGUAGGGGGCGAGCGUUGUCCGGAAUUACUGGGCGUAAAGAGCACGUAGGCGGGAUUUUAAGUCAGGUGUGAAAGACCGUGGCUCAACCACGGGGUUGCACUUGAAACUGGGAUUCUUGAGGGCAGGAGAGGAAAGUGGAAUUCCUGGUGUAGCGGUGAAAUGCGUAGAAAUCAGGAGGAACACCGGUGGCGAAGGCGACUUUCUGGACUGACCCUGACGCUGAGGUGCGAAAGCGUGGGUAGCAAACAGGAUUAGAUACCCCUGUAGUCCC